rnacentral:rRNA from 1 species
UUGUACGAGAUUUCGCGAUCGRAUGCCGGAACGCGGCGAAACCGCAGACGGCUCAUUAAAUCAGUCGUGGUCCUAAUGGGCUAGAGUUUUCCUACUUGGAUAACUGUGGUAAUUCCAGAGCUAAUACAUGCUACUUUUAAUCCUUAGCGAGUGAUUUAUUUCUCGCGCGACGGAUGCUUUUAUUAGACCUGCGACGAUGCGCGAGACCAAUUCGGUCGCGCGCGUUAACAUUCGUCGUUACGGUGACUCUGGAUAACCUUGACGAGCGCACUAGUAUAAUCUAAUUUAUACCGGGCGCUGCCACUUUCGAGUGUCUGCCUUAUCAGCUAUCGUAUCGUUGGUUAUGCGCCAACGAUGGCUUUGACGGGUAACGGGGAAUCUGAKUUCGAUUCCGGAGAGGCAGCCUGAGAAACGGCUACCACGUCUAAGGACGGCAGCAGGCACGCAAAUUAUCCAAUCCCAGAUUAUUUACUCCCGGGGGAGGUAGUGACGAAAUCUAACGAUGCGGGGUAGCCUCUGUUACAGAGGUCCCGCAAUCGGAAUGAGCAUAAAUUUCUUUCUUAAAAACUCUGAUGAGAACCUACUGAAGGGCAAGUCUGGUGCCAGCAGCCGCGGUAAUUCCAGCUUCAVUARCAUAUACUAAUGUUGCUGCGGUUAAAAGGCUCGCAGUUGAAUGUCNAAAUUGAAAUGUCGUAAUCGGAGAAUGCYUUCBUUCGCGAGNNUCCUUUUCUUUGAGANUGARAAAUGWRAAURUWUUYUUAUAUMACNMNCGAGUCGRAGAUUUUYUUGUCGRRGGNYGCGVGSGGSGGGAUUUGGGSUGKGGGGGAGACUCGCGCGUGCGCGCGAAAGCGUUACGACGAGCGUUAGUAGUCUUUCGCGACGAAAAUGUUYUAGUUUUCGCGCGCGCCUGUGUUCCAUCUCUUUCUCGUCUUUAAUAUUUCCGUCAAUUUCUCUCUCGGCCUUYUUCUCAUUAAAUCGUCCUUCUGAAUGGGACACCCUGAGUAAAUCAGAGUGCUCAAAGCAAAAUGAUUCGCUUGUCGUUCUCACGCGUUUUUUUGGGGGGGGGAGUUUACUCUCUCACUCUCUCUUUGACGCGCGUUCGAUAACGCGAUGUUUAUAAUUGGCUUGUUUAUGCAAGGCAUGUCGAAAGACGCCGCCGAGUACCACUUUUUUUUCUCUCUCGCCCCGUUAGCGGGUGCGGGGGUGUGGCGAAGUAUACUAAACGCGGAAUGAUAACAAGGGACGAUCGAGGGCAUUAGUAUUGCGAGGCGAGAGGUGAAAUUCUAUGACCCUCGCAAGACUACCUGAAGCGAAAGCGUUUGCCAUGGACGUGUGCGGGCUUAAUUUGACUCAACACGGGUAAUCUUACCAGGCCAGCACAUAUUCUUGUACGAUUGACAGAUUGAGAGAACUUUCUCGAUCGAGUGGAUGGUGGUGCAUGGCCGUUCUUAGUUGGUGGAGUGAUCUGUCUGGUUAAUUCCGAUAACGAACGAGACUCAUACCUGUUAAAAUUAAGUGAUGAGAAAGUUUUGUAAUUACGUUCUUCUUCUACGGUGUUUUUUGCGAUCGAUUGUCGUUAUAUAGAGUAGCGAGGCUGGCUUUUUUGUCGGUCUCGCACUCUGACACUGUCGUCGUAAUAUAUAUGUAUGCGCGAGCGCGCGUGUAUUUAUAUGCGCGCGCGCGUGUGUACGCGCUCKCGUUGYGUUCGUUAAUGGKUCUUUAUUUCUUCUUAGAGGGAUUUACGGUUUUUGAAACCGUUUGAGAGAAACUGUGAGCAAUAACAGGUCUGUAAUGCCCUUAGAUGUUCUGGGCCGCACGCGCGCUACAAUGCCGCGUGCAAAAUGUCUAUGAAUGCGGCGUGCCUCGCGUACGUCGCAUUUAUCCUGCUCCGAGAGGAGUGGGUAAUCAUGCUAAAUCGCAAACGGGGCGUACGUGUAUUUCUAUACGUACGUUUACGUCAUUGGCAAGCUUGGGCCUGGGAUUUGCAAUUAUCUCCCACAAACGAGGAAUGCCUAGUAGCGGCGGGUCACUGAACCCGUCUUGAUUCAGUCCCGUGC